rnacentral:rRNA from 1 species
UACGUAGGGUGCGAGCGUUAAUCGGAAUUACUGGGCGUAAAGCGUGCGCAGGCGGUUUUGUAAGCCAGAUGUGAAAUCCCCGGGCUUAACCUGGGAAUGGCAUUUGGGACUGCAAGGCUGGAGUGUGGCAGAGGAGACUGGAAUUCCUGGUGUAGCAGUGAAAUGCGUAGAUAUCAGGAGGAAUACCGAUGGCGAAGGCAGGUCUCUGGGCCAACACUGACGCUCAUGCACGAAAGCGUGGGGAGCAAACAGG